AGCGGGAUGGGGCAGUCAGGAGUGCCCGUCGGGCCCAUAACCCGGAAAGGGAUAUUUUAUAUCCGUUGGGGAUAGGUCGAAGGUUCAAAUCCUUCUCCCGCUA
rnacentral:tRNA from 1 species